GGGGAGGUGAGAUGAGGUGGGGGGAAUCCAUGUGUUUCCAAGCACUCCCAGACAAAAUGUAAGGGAGAGAGACAGAGAGACAGAGAGCCUUCUUCCUUCAUCUUCCUUGUGAAGAUUCAAAAAUGAAUAUUAAUCUCAGAGAGUCUCUCAUCUCAUCCCUUUGCUUAUUCUCUGUCCUUCUUUUGCCUUUUUUUUUUUUUUUUGUAGAAACUCUACCGUCCCAAAGAAAACGAAAACCUUCACGCUCUCUCUCUCUCUCUGAACUUGGAAAAAAUUGCGUGGUUAGUAAUACCUCUCUCUCUCUCUCUCUAUGUGGGUGUGGAACUGUGAAGAGAAGGGGACUAUAUUUAGUGGGCAAAGAAAGAAAGAGAGGUGAGGAGGAAGGUGAAAUGAAACUUCUUCAAAGUUCAAACCAUCUCUCUCUCUUCCUGUACAAAUUUUCCUCUCCACCACAAGAAAAAAAAAAUUGAAAGGAAAAGAGGGAAGAACUGAGGAGGAGUUGGCUGCUAAUAUAUAGAGCUCUCUCCUUGAGUUUAGGUAGUGGUUCCAUUUCCAUGGCCCCAAUUCUUCAGGGUUUGCGUGGGGGGAAUUAAGAAGGCUAGUGAGCUCUCAUCAAUAUCUUUACCCUUUUAUUACAUUGUUUUCCUUUGACUAUGACCCUGUUCUGUUCCAACCCGGCCCCUUAGAUCUCUCUGUCUCUCUUAUCCCUUCUUUUCUUUGUGUGUAUAUAUACAUGUCUGUCUGUAUGAAUAUAUCCCAUCAUCAUCUUGUUCUUGUCUUCUCCCUCCAUAUACAUAUACACACACACACACACAUAUAUCUCUUCUUAAAGCUAGCUAAUUCUUCUUCUGUUCCAUAUUAAUUAGAUUCUCUAUAAUUGUAGGCCUUGAGUCUCUUUUGUAAUUGAAAAAAAAAAUUUCUCAAUAUAUGUUCAAGGGGGCUCAUCAUCAGGGCUUUUUCGCAGGACAAUGGUCGUGAAAAGCUCAAUUUUCCAUUUAUCUCCCAUGGAGUUAUUGUUACAUUUCCAUUUUAAUUUUUCCUGGUUCUUCAUCAAACAAUAAAAAAAACAAAAAAGUUUUCAAUUUUUUGUUGAGGAGCUUAUAAUCAGGACGGUUUAUAGUUUCCCAAAUUAGUUGUUUUUUUUUUCAUGAACAAGUUUUUUGCAUGAUUUUCUUUCUUCUUCUUGCAUGCACAAGUCGAGGGCGAAAAGCCGAACAUGUGACGCCUUUCCUUCCGUGCAUUGAAUCGACAAAUGAGGUUUCAAAUGGUCAUGAUUCAUACAUACUAGCACAUACCUACUGUUGUUGUAUGAAAUUCAAGAUUAUAUAUCCGAAUUACGUCAUAUGGAUGCAAGAUGAAAUAUAGAUAAUGGGCAUGUGCCUGGCUCCCUGUAUGCCAUUUGCAGAGCACCACCGGAACAGCGAUGGCCUCCGUGAAUGGCGUAUGAGGAGCCAUGCAUAUAUCUCAUUGAUCCCAUCCAAUAAUAUAUAUCCCCAUUGUCCAUCAGAUAGAUACAUAUGCGCGCAUACACACAAUAUAUAUAUAUAUAUAUGCAUGUAUAUAUAAUUAUGUGGCUAAUCAUGUAUAUAAUAAUAUUCUCUCUGUGGAUAGCUAAGGUCGUCCAGCUUGUGUUGUACUAUAUCUGAACUUACACUGGCGCAUGCUUCUAUCCCUUCCCUCCCUGACGUCCCCGAACGAGGUACGGCAUUGUGAUCCUGAAAUAGUUCGUCAAGCGACAGACUGAUCAUGAAUCGGAAGGUAGAAUAUUGUGCAUCUUCCGUCAAGAUUCACAUUUACAUAUAUAUAGAUCUGGUCUUCUUAUGUAAUGCUCAGAGAUCUGAGCUUAUGUACACAAUGCUCAAUUCCAUUAUUUAUGCAUAUUUCAAAUCAAAAAUGAAAAAAAUUCCAACAUGUUAUAUCCAUACCCAGUUGGGAAUAUUUUUAGGGUUUCACUUUUUCAUUUCAAAAUCUUGGGUUUUGUGUGCAUUCUCUCUCUAGUGUUGCUGUUACUCUUAGAACGAGGAAUCUGGGAAAUCAUAGUCCGUCCUUCAAAAAUUCUCUUUAAUAAGCUUUUGCUUUUUAAUUAAUUAGAAAAGUUAAAAUUAUUCCCUGACAACAUUGAAGUUUCACAAUAUCCUAGAAAGAAGAAAGAAUUAAGAAAUAUGCAUAUACAGCUCAUGCUAGCUACGCAUCUGAUGAAUUUUGAUUUUAAUUGGUUUUUGAUUUGUUAAAUUUUGUUUGUUUUGGGCUCUCCGUCUCGAUCGAUCGGCCAUGAUGUUUGCUCUGAACCAAAUUCCAAAUUAGGGCUAGCUGUUCUUUGUUUUCAACCAGAAGUUACAUUGAUCUUAACGCAUGCAGAAGAACAUGCUCUGAAUGUUUUGCAAUGCGAAGAGACGGACCGACUUAUGGCCAGCUGUUACUGUUUAUAUUUCGGCACCAAAUCCAAUAAUAGCUUAAAUUCUAAUAUUAAAUUUACAGUUAAGACGGUUGUCGAUACCGAAAUGUAACUUAAACACGUACUUUUAACCUUCCAGCUGGCACCUUUACCUGAAAA